rnacentral:rRNA from 1 species
UUCGACACACUAUCAUUAACUGAAUCCAUAGGUUAAUGAGGCGAACCGGGGGAACUGAAACAUCUAAGUACCCCGAGGAAAAGAAAUCAACCGAGAUUCCCCCAGUAGCGGCGAGCGAACGGGGAGGAGCCCAGAGCCUGAAUCAGUGUGUGUGUUAGUGGAAGCGUCUGGAAAGGCGCGCGAUACAGGGUGACAGCCCCGUACACAAAAAUGCACAUGCUGUGAGCUCGAUGAGUAGGGCGGGACACGUGGUAUCCUGUCUGAAUAUGGGGGGACCAUCCUCCAAGGCUAAAUACUCCUGACUGACCGAUAGUGAACCAGUACCGUGAGGGAAAGGCGAAAAGAACCCCGGCGAGGGGAGUGAAAAAGAACCUGAAACCGUGUACGUACAAGCAGUGGGAGCACAGAGCAAUCUGUGUGACUGCGUACCUUUUGUAUAAUGGGUCAGCGACUUAUAUUCUGUAGCAAGGUUAACCGAAUAGGGGAGCCGAAGGGAAACCGAGUCUUAACUGGGCGUUAAGUUGCAGGGUAUAGACCCGAAACCCGGUGAUCUAGCCAUGGGCAGGUUGAAGGUUGGGUAACACUAACUGGAGGACCGAACCGACUAAUGUUGAAAAAUUAGCGGAUGACUUGUGGCUGGGGGUGAAAGGCCAAUCAAACCGGGAGAUAGCUGGUUCUCCCCGAAAGCUAUUUAGGUAGCGCCUCGUGAAUUCAUCUCCGGGGGUAGAGCACUGUUUCGGCAAGGGGGUCAUCCCGACUUACCAACCCGAUGCAAACUGCGAAUACCGGAGAAUGUUAUCACGGGAGACACACGGCGGGUGCUAACGUCCGUCGUGAAGAGGGAAACAACCCAGACCGCCAGCUAAGGUCCCAAAGUCAUGGUUAAGUGGGAAACGAUGUGGGAAGGCCCAGACAGCCAGGAUGUUGGCUUAGAAGCAGCCAUCAUUUAAAGAAAGCGUAAUAGCUCACUGGUCGAGUCGGCCUGCGCGGAAGAUGUAACGGGGCUAAACCAUGCACCGAAGCUGCGGCAGCGACACUGUGUGUUGUUGGGUAGGGGAGCGUUCUGUAAGCCUGUGAAGGUGUGCUGUGAGGCAUGCUGGAGGUAUCAGAAGUGCGAAUGCUGACAUAAGUAACGAUAAAGCGGGUGAAAAGCCCGCUCGCCGGAAGACCAAGGGUUCCUGUCCAACGUUAAUCGGGGCAGGGUGAGUCGACCCCUAAGGCGAGGCCGAAAGGCGUAGUCGAUGGGAAACAGGUUAAUAUUCCUGUACUUGGUGUUACUGCGAAGGGGGGACGGAGAAGGCUAUGUUGGCCGGGCGACGGUUGUCCCGGUUUAAGCGUGUAGGCUGGUUUUCCAGGCAAAUCCGGAAAAUCAAGGCUGAGGCGUGAUGACGAGGCACUACGGUGCUGAAGCAACAAAUGCCCUGCUUCCAGGAAAAGCCUCUAAGCAUCAGGUAACAUCAAAUCGUACCCCAAACCGACACAGGUGGUCAGGUAGAGAAUACCAAGGCGCUUGAGAGAACUCGGGUGAAGGAACUAGGCAAAAUGGUGCCGUAACUUCGGGAGAAGGCACGCUGAUAUGUAGGUGAAGUCCCUCGCGGAUGGAGCUGAAAUCAGUCGAAGAUACCAGCUGGCUGCAACUGUUUAUUAAAAACACAGCACUGUGCAAACACGAAAGUGGACGUAUACGGUGUGACGCCUGCCCGGUGCCGGAAGGUUAAUUGAUGGGGUCAGCGCAAGCGAAGCUCUUGAUCGAAGCCCCGGUAAACGGCGGCCGUAACUAUAACGGUCCUAAGGUAGCGAAAUUCCUUGUCGGGUAAGUUCCGACCUGCACGAAUGGCGUAAUGAUGGCCAGGCUGUCUCCACCCGAGACUCAGUGAAAUUGAACUCGCUGUGAAGAUGCAGUGUACCCGCGGCAAGACGGAAAGACCCCGUGAACCUUUACUAUAGCUUGACACUGAACAUUGAGCCUUGAUGUGUAGGAUAGGUGGGAGGCUUUGAAGUGUGGACGCCAGUCUGCAUGGAGCCGACCUUGAAAUACCACCCUUUAAUGUUUGAUGUUCUAACGUGGACCCGUGAUCCGGGUUGCGGACAGUGUCUGGUGGGUAGUUUGACUGGGGCGGUCUCCUCCUAAAGAGUAACGGAGGAGCACGAAGGUUGGCUAAUCCUGGUCGGACAUCAGGAGGUUAGUGCAAUGGCAUAAGCCAGCUUGACUGCGAGCGUGACGGCGCGAGCAGGUGCGAAAGCAGGUCAUAGUGAUCCGGUGGUUCUGAAUGGAAGGGCCAUCGCUCAACGGAUAAAAGGUACUCCGGGGAUAACAGGCUGAUACCGCCCAAGAGUUCAUAUCGACGGCGGUGUUUGGCACCUCGAUGUCGGCUCAUCACAUCCUGGGGCUGAAGUAGGUCCCAAGGGUAUGGCUGUUCGCCAUUUAAAGUGGUACGCGAGCUGGGUUUAGAACGUCGUGAGACAGUUCGGUCCCUAUCUGCCGUGGGCGCUGGAGAACUGAGGGGGGCUGCUCCUAGUACGAGAGGACCGGAGUGGACGCAUCACUGGUGUUCGGGUUGUCAUGCCAAUGGCACUGCCCGGUAGCUAAAUGCGGAAGAGAUAAGUGCUGAAAGCAUCUAAGCACGAAACUUGCCCCGAGAUGAGUUCUCCCUGACCCUUUAAGGGUCCUGAAGGAACGUUGAAGACGACGACGUUGAUAGGCCGGGUGUGUAAGCGCAGCGAUGCGUUGAGCUAACCGGUACUAAUGAACCGUGAGGCUUAACCUUACAACGCCGAAGGUGUUU